rnacentral:rRNA from 1 species
CCGCGGUAAUACGAAGGGGGCUAGCGUUGUUCGGAAUCACUGGGCGUAAAGGGCGCGUAGGCGGCUUGAUCAGUCGGGGGUGAAAGCCUGUGGCUCAACCACAGAAUUGCCUUCGAUACUGUCUGGCUUGAGACCGGAAGAGGUAAGUGGAACUGCGAGUGUAGAGGUGAAAUUCGUAGAUAUUCGCAAGAACACCAGUGGCGAAGGCGGCUUACUGGUCCGGAUCUGACGCUGAGGCGCGAAAGCGUGGGGAGCAAACAGG